AGAGUUUGAUCCUGGCUCAGGACGAACGCUGGCGGCGUGCUUAACACAUGCAAGUCGAACGGAAAGGUCUCUUCGGAGAUACUCGAGUGGCGAACGGGUGAGUAACACGUGGGUAAUCUGCCCUGCACUUCGGGAUAAGCUUGGGAAACUGGGUCUAAUACCGGAUAGGACCACGGGAUGCAUAUCCUGUGGUGGAAAGCUUUUGCGGUGUGGGAUGGGCCCGCGGCCUAUCAGCUUGUUGGUGGGGUGAUGGCCUACCAAGGCGACGACGGGUAGCCGGCCUGAGAGGGUGUCCGGCCACACUGGGACUGAGACACGGCCCAGACUCCUACAGGAGGCAGCAGUGGGGAAUCUUGCGCAAUGGGCGAAAGCCUGACGCAGCAACGCCGCGUGAGGGACGAAGGCCUUCUGGGUUGUAAACCUCUUUCAGCAGGGACGAUGAUGACGGUACCUGCAGAAGAAGCCCC
rnacentral:rRNA from 1 species